rnacentral:lncRNA from 1 species
CUUUUAUGAAGCAUCUGGAAACAGCAAGUCCCAAAAGCCACCAGUAUUAACAGUAAUAGUGGUAUAGUGGGUAUUACGACAUAAAUUAGAUUUGGAAUUAUACCUGUUUCAGUAGCUAUAACAUGAUACUGAUCUUCUGGUUUGUUUGUGUCAUAUGGAUUUCCUGCUGGCACCGUUGGAAAAAUACCUGGGCCAUACUUGCAGAUAAAAUUGUGCUUCAUGUUGCAUCUAUCGUCAUUCCACUGAUAAAGAUACGGCCCUCCCAGACCAGGGUUUGCAGUUGGCUGAUGAUACAUAACAACACAGGCUUCACUUCCACAGGAAGGCUCAUCUGUAUACCAAUUUCUGAAGGGUGAAAUACUUCCAUCAGCCCAAUGGUAGAGGUCAGGGCAAGCACUGGAGGUGGCCAGUCCAUCACUACUUCUCCACAACCCAAUCCAG